AAUAAAGUGCCUGAAAAUUAAAGGAUUAUUCUGAUAGAAUAAAUAAUGUAAUCAUAUUACCUUUAUUA
rnacentral:tRNA from 1 species